CAGUAGCCGCGGGAAAACCAGCACCUCGAGUGGUCAGGAGGUUUAUUGGGCCUAAAGCAUCCGUAGCCGGUUGCAUAAGUUUUCGGUUAAAUCUAUGCGCUUAACGUAUAGGCCGCCGAAAAUACUGUGCAGCUAGGGAGUGGGAGAGGUACACGGUACUCGAUAGGAAGGGGUAAAAUCCUUUGAUCUAUUGAUGACCACCUGUGGCGAAGGCGGUGUACCAGAACACGUCCGACAGUGAGGGAUGAAAGCUGGGGGAGCAAACCGGAUUAGAUACCCCCGUAGUCCCUGUCUCUUAUAC
rnacentral:rRNA from 1 species